CUCGUGUAAUGUACUUGAAUGUCUUUUUCAUACACCCAUUCAAGUCUGGUAUCACAGAGAAUAACUUAAUGCCCCCUUAACUUCAACGUGUUUGAAGGACCUUAGGACUUCUUUGUUGAGCUCCUCAUUCCCAGGACCUCCCGUUGUUGGCUUGUAUUAAUGAUGAAUCACUGACAGGCAAUCCGAACAGAAAUCACUGCCCAUAUCAUAUUUAAAUACGUGAUCUUAAUGGAUAAGAAAGCUACAGUGGUUACUCCAUCUCUGGUAACUACAUUGGGUACCUCGCCGUUCGUGAGCUGAUCUGAGGAACGUUUUGCUGCAGAGAAAGGAAGGGUCUUGGAAUGUUUGGGCGAAAGCUCCUCGGGUGGAACUGCAGUUUUACAGAAUGCAGCAUGUGCCCUCAAUCUGGAAAUCUCCCAGGAGAGAACAAGAACUGCCCGCUAACGCCAGGGUCAGGCUGGCUCCAGCCUGCAAUUGGGAUGCUGCUGGCAAGGCUGGACGAGUGCUGAGGAGGGCUCACAGAUCCGGCAGGAAAGAUUAGGUACAGAUUUGGACUAAGCAGCGUGAAUGUGGUUGAAUGUUCAUGUGACUGUAAAACUUGGGCUUCAGCCUCUGCCCUGAGACGUGCCUGUUCCAGCCUGAGGGAGGCUGCCCGUGGUGUUCUGACCCCUCUCUGUGCCCAGCCUGAAGUUCAACAGCCACGGCUCCAGCUACAGGCUCAGCUGCUCUCUAAACUUCUCUGUUUGUCCAUCAGUUUAUACCUGGAAGGCCUGAUAAUUUCCAAGAGUACUCGCUGUCAACGAAGCCAGAUUUUGGUAGUCAUUAUUGAAUUAUGCUUUUAUUUUCUUAAGCUUGGCUCCUCUUCUUCCCUCGCAACAUGGCUGUCAGUGCUGCUGGCAGCAGCUGCUUCUCCUUGUGUUCCACCAGCUGUUGCUAGGGACAGGCCUCCAGGCCGUGCUUCCCUCUGAAAAUGAGAGAGUUACCUUAGUGACAGGCAAUUCAUAAACACAUCCUUACGGCUGUGCUGGACUCCAGAGCGGAUCCGUAGUUCACCUCAUGGCUCCUAUUAUUAACCUUGGAACUUGCAAUUUGUACAGUCAACAAAGUUUGAGUUAUCUAAUUGUGUACGUGCUUGAAGAUGGUAAACGUUAACAUCGUUGUAGAGUAAAAGAACCCAAUGUUGAGCCCAGGAAAUACCAAGUUCUACUAUUAAGAGAAAUGGAGUUCAGUGGUCGGUCAUGGCAAAGUGGAAAACUUCUGUUUCAGCUUGGCCAUCUGGAUCUGUCACAUCACCCUGGUAUUCCACAUCCACAGGUAUUUCCAAUUCCUGUAGCAUAUCUAAAGAAAUGGAUGUUUAUUUAUAUGACUAAAAUACACUGCGAAGUAAAUUAGCUUUAAAACUGCAAGAUGAUUUCUGUAUAUAAUUGUAUAUAGAAAUAAGUCAUAUUCCCAUUUAAAGAUUUUUUCAGGGAAUGUAUACAUAAAUAAAACCAAAACAAUACCCGUGUCAUGGUUUGGGCCGGACUGGCCACGGAAACGAAUGACAGAUGCUCUCCCCACACUCUCCCUUCAGGGAGAGAAGGAUAGAGGGAGACUUAUGAGCUUAAAAGAGACUAAACUACUUUAAAGAAAUAUUAAUAAUAAAAAGAUCAUAUGAAAAAAUAA